rnacentral:rRNA from 1 species
GGUUGCGAUCAUACCAGCACUAAUGCAUCGGAUCCCAUCAGAACUCCGCAGUUAAGCAUGCUUGGGAAAGAGUAGUUCUAGGAUGGGUGACCCCCUGGGAAGUUCUCGUGUUGCAACCCAC